UCGGUUUCCAGAUAAUUACGUUGGAUAAUUAGUGGCGCGAGAGGGUGAGCUUUUAUACCGGGUUCGGAACUGAUUACCGGAGGGAAAAGCGAAUUAAUGCGAGUCGAGAGCCGCGUGCCCUUCGAGAGGUGGAACCGCCUCGAGCCCUUCCAUAUAGGAGUAAGUUUUGAAACCGAAAGGUGCGUCCCGUGUGUACAUCCGUCGAUCCCGUUCUUCUUCGGUAAUUCCCCGGGGGUAGAAAAUAAAGAGACGAGCGUCAGUACGGUCGGCCACCGUGGCAGACGUCCGCCCCACGCGACCUCAAUUUAUUCGACACCUCCUCUUACAUGCCCUUAGCUACGAACGAGCAAGUUUCUCAGUUCCUCCCUCGCGCUACGAACCACCUUAAACCACAAUGGAAAAGGGCGAACUGAGAUCGGCUCUCAGCCGUAAUCCGCCUUUAUGGCAAAAUAAAUCGCGAUCUGACUUGUGGGAGGAUGUUCCUCUGGAUAUAAACCCCGAUGUAGACCUCCUACAUUCUGCCGCAACAACACAUCCUCUUCCACGUCCGACUUCGUUUUAUUAGGAAAAAUAAAUUUUUUUUACCCACAACCUAUUUAAGGAGUAGACGAAAAGGGCACGUUGCAAAAUUUCACAAGGAUCGCGUACAGCGUCCGUCGGUCGGGUCCCUUAUUUUUAGGGUGGUCCGGAAAAUCGCCCUCACUUUCAAACCGACAAAGCGAAAUAGAAAUCCUUACCGUUGUCCCUUGUAUACGAGUCCCGGCCUCCGUUGUCCGUGAAAAUUCUCCCCAUUGACGUUUCUGCUUUUCGUCGACACGCGUGCCGUUAUUUUAAUUUGUUUUUUCUUUGUCUCUCGAAGAGAAGCCCUCAUCGUAGCGUGGAGGUUUUUUUCCGAGGGCUGCCGAGAGUCGAGGUUUCGUAUUCUCACGAGAGGACGACGCCGAGGACCCGCAGCGAAAGAUCUCGUUGGUCAGGAGCGUGCGCCACAGCCUGGGCGGUCGCCGCUGCUGGGAUCGCGCGCGUAUCCCUCCGGACGAAACGAAGGGAGAGUCGGAACGAAGUUGAGGCCUGUAAUUAUUCCGGUCAAAUGAGCCACGCGGUCGAGUAGCUUCCAUGCAGCUACCGCCGAACCCCGAGCCAACUUCGAGCCUCGGGGUCCCCGUGCUCCGGGCCUACGGUCGGGUACCUAUGAGGUUCGUAACCGCGGUACACGUAACGCUUGUACCGUACGCGAGCACCUCCGCUCAUAAAUCGAACUCUGUCCGAGCUUAUAAUUCCGUAACGGAAUCAAUUUGCCGUGGGUGGUUGCGCUACACAUAUCGCCCGGCGUUACACCGCCGAGCGGUGCGGCAGCAUUGGCGGUAAGCCUCGUGCAUAUACGGUGUAAUUAAAUUGUUACUCCGGGCGUGCCGCACGCCACUCUACAUGGGCGGCCCGUCCGCAACGGACACCCGCACCGCUUGUCGUAUUUAUUAACCCCGUGUAAUACGUCUUCACCCCCCCGGAGCAACGAAGAGAGAAGAGAAAUAAAUUCUUUCGGAUA